rnacentral:rRNA from 1 species
GACGAACGCUGGCGGCGUGCUUAACACAUGCAAGUCGAACGGAAAGGCCCUGCUUGCAGGGUACUCGAGUGGCGAACGGGUGAGUAACACGUGGGUGAUCUGCCCUGCACUUCGGGAUAAGCCUGGGAAACUGGGUCUAAUACCGGAUAGGAGCCAUUUUUAGUGUGAUGGUUGGAAAGUUUUUUCGGUGUAGGAUGAGCUCGCGGCCUAUCAGCUUGUUGGUGGGGUAAUGGCCUACCAAGGCGGCGACGGGUAGCCGGCCUGAGAGGGUGGACGGCCACAUUGGGACUGGGAUACGGCCCAGACUCCUACGGGAGGCAGCAGUGGGGAAUAUUGCACAAUGGGCGCGAGCCUGAUGCAGCGACGCCGCGUGGGGGAUGACGGCCUUCGGGUUGGAAACUCCUUUCGCUAGGGACGAAGCUUUUUGUGACGGUACCUAGAUAAGAAGCACCGGCUAACUACGUG